rnacentral:rRNA from 1 species
CUUGUUCUUUAAAUGGGGACUCGUAUCAACGGCACUACGAGGGCUAUACUGUCUCCUUUUUCUAAUCAGUGAAACUGAUCUCCCCGUGAAGAAGCGGGGAUUAAAAUAUAAGACGAGAAGACCCCAUGGAGCUUUAAACUCACCAUGCACCUCUGUGCCCCCAUAUCAUUAAACACAACGGACCUGCAUGCUAGUUUUAGGUUGGGGUGACCACGGAGUACAACUUAACCUCCACAGCAAAUGGGCUAAUACCCUUAUCCACGAGACACAACUCUAAGAAUUAUUAUACUAAUGCUUAUUGACCCGAUAUUCGAUCAAUGAACCAAGUUACCCUGGGGAUAACAGCGCAAUCUACUUCAAGAGCCCAUAUCGACAAGUAG